rnacentral:snRNA from 1 species
GUGCUAGCUUUGGCAGCACAUAUACUAAAAUUGGAAUGUUACAGAGAAGAUUAGCAUGGCCCUUGCACAAGAAGGACACAUAAAUUCGUGAAUUGUUCCAUAUUUUU